rnacentral:tRNA from 2 species
CCUAGAUCAGCAGGCCUCGAUCCUACAAAAUAUUAAUCAACAAUCAAACACCCAAGCCAGCGGGCUUUAAUCU